AGCAGCCGCGGUAAUUCCAGCUCCAAUAGCGUAUAUUAAAGUUGUUGCAGUUAAAAAGCUCGUAGUUGAAUUUCGGGAUCAGUUGAUCGGUCGUGCCUCGGUACGUACUGGUCAAAUUGAUUCCUACCUUCUGACGAACCACGAUGUCAUUAAUUUGGUGUCGCGGGAAAUCAGGACUGUUACUUUGAAAAAUUAGAGUGUUUAAAGCAGGCUCGCGCUUGAAUACAUUAGCAUGGAAUAAUGAAAUAGGACGUUUGAUUCUAUUUUGUUGGUUUCUAGGAUCGACGUAAUGAUUAAUAGGGAUAGUUGGGGGCAUUAGUAUUCAAUUGUCAGAGGUGAAAUUCUUGGAUUUAUUGAAGACUAACUACUGCGAAAGCAUUUGCCAAGGAUGUUUUCAUUAAUCAAGAACGAAAGUUAGGGGAUCGAAGACGAUCAGAUACCGUCGUAGUC
rnacentral:rRNA from 1 species